GUGCAUUGUAGUUGCAUUGCAC
rnacentral:miRNA from 2 species